CAAACGAUCAGUCAAUAGUCGUACUAAUAUUCUCUUUGCUUCAUCACCUAGAGCAUAUCAACAAGCUCAAGACCAAAGCAAAAAUCAGUCACAAUUAUCUUCUCUUUCCUUCACCUCGCCUAAAAUGGACAAGCUCAAUGAAUCAGUCAUCUUCUCAUGGGUUUAGCCCGCAGCUCCGAAGCCGGGAAAUCUCAGAUAAAGGACCAAGAUGUGUUUCCAGGUCUCAUUAACAGAAAUGGUGUUAAGAUUUAUGCAUCUCGUCGAUUUUUAUAAGCGUUAUCUUCCAAAACGCCCCAUAUUUUCUCUGAUUUCACCUUGUUAAAGCCUUCGCCAUUUACUUCUUCACUUCGUUCCUGGUGGAUCCCUUUCGGAGAAUGCACUUGUUGAGGCACAUGAGGGAUCACGUAGCAGAGUUGGCAAAGAAAGAUACAGGAAUGAUAUUUGAUGCCUUGAGGAUUGCUGUUUAAUUUGUUCCAAAGAGGGGAUAUUAUUUAUUCACGGUUCAGAUUAGCCUAUUUUUCAUUAUGCUUUAUUGAAUUGGAGAGAAGCAUUUGUAGCUUUUCAAUAAGGCCUGUUUUAUCCAAAGUAGAGUAAGAACUUAAAUGAAUUGAUCUUUCUUUAUUGAUUUACAUGAUAGUAUUCAGAGUUGUUUGAAA